UACGUAGGGGGCAAGCGUUGUCCGGAUUUAUUGGGCGUAAAGUGCGUGUAGGCGGCUUGGUAGGUCAGCUGUGAAAACUCGAGGCUCAACCUCGAGCUGUCGGUUGAAACCACCUUGCUAGAGUCCGGAAGAGGAGAGUGGAAUUCCUGGUGUAGCGGUGAAAUGCGCAGAUAUCAGGAGGAACACCGGUGGCGAAGGCGGGACUCUGGGCCGAUACUGACGCUGAGGAGCGAAAGCGUGGGGAGCAAACAGG
rnacentral:rRNA from 1 species